UACGAAGGGGGCUAGCGUUGCUCGGAAUUACUGGGCGUAGAGCGCACGUAGGCGGCUUUUUAAGUCGGGGGUGAAAUCCUGGAGCUCAACUCCAGAACUGCCUUCGAUACUGGAAAGCUCGAGUCCGGGAGAGGUGAGUGGAACUGCGAGUGUAGAGGUGAAAUUCGUAGAUAUUCGCAAGAACACCAGUGGCGAAGGCGGCUCACUGGCCCGGUACUGACGCUGAGGUGCGAAAGCGUGGGGAGCAAACAGG
rnacentral:rRNA from 1 species